GAUGAACGCUAGCGGCAGGCUUAAUACAUGCAAGUCGUGGGGCAGCAGGGGUGUAGCAAUACAUCUGCUGGCGACCGGCAAACGGGUGCGUAACACGUACGCAACCUUCCCGUUACUGUGGCAUAGCCCAGGGAAACUUGGAUUAAUACCACAUAUUAUGUAGAGAGGGCAUCCUUUUUAUAUCAAAGCUUCGGCGGUAACGGAUGGGCGUGCGGUUGAUUAGGUAGUUGGCGGGGUAACGGCCCACCAAGCCUACGAUCAAUAGCUGAUGUGAGAGCAUGAUCAGCCACACGGGCACUGAGACACGGGCCCGACUCCUACGGGAGGCAGCAGUAAGGAAUAUUGGGCAAUGGACGAAAGUCUGACCCAGCCAUGCCGCGUGAAGGAUUAAGGUCCUCUGGAUUGUAAACUUCUUUUCUCUGGGGCGAAAACCAGCUAUUCUUAGCUAUUUGACAGUACCAGAGGAAUAAGCACCGGCUAACUCCGUGCCAGCCGCCGCCGUAAGAC
rnacentral:rRNA from 1 species